AUUGAACGCUGGCGGUAUGCUUAACACAUGCAAGUCGAACGAUGAGAAAGAGCUUGCUCUUUCGAUUAGUGGCGGACGGGUGCGUAACGCGUAGGAAUCUACCUAUUAGUGGGGGACAACUUAGGGAAACUUAAGCUAAUACCGCACACGCCCUACGGGGGAAAGAAGGGGAUCGCAAGACCUUUUGCUAAUAGAUGAGCCUGCGUAGGAUUAGCUAGUUGGUGUGGUAAAAGCUCACCAAGGCGACGAUCCUUAACUGGUUUGAGAGAAUGAUCAGUCUCACUGGAACUGAGACACGGUCCAGACCCCUACGGGAGGCAGCAGUGGGGAAUAUUGGACAAUGGGCGAAGGCCUGAUCCAGCAAUACCGCGUGUGUGAAGAAGGCCUUAGGGUUGUAAAGCACUUUCAAUUGGAAGGAAAACCUCGAAGCUAAUACCUUCGAGUUUGACAUUACCUUUAGAAGAAGCACCGGCUAACUCCGUGCCAGCAGCCGCAGUAA
rnacentral:rRNA from 1 species